GGGGUUCUAGCUCAUCGGUAGAGCGCUCGCUUAGCAUUCUGCCCAGUCAAUAUGCGAGAGGUACAGGAUUCGACUCCCUGGUACUCCA
rnacentral:tRNA from 1 species